rnacentral:rRNA from 1 species
UACGUAGGGGGCAAGCGUUGUCCGGAGUUAUUGGGCGUAAAGAGCGUGUAGGCGGUCCGGUAAGUCGGCUGUGAAAGUCCAGGGCUCAACCCUGGGAUGCCGGUCGAUACUGCCGGACUAGAGUUCGGAAGAGGCGAGUGGAAUUCCCGGUGUAGCGGUGAAAUGCGCAGAUAUCGGGAGGAACACCUAUGGCGGAGGCAGCUCGCUGGGACGUUACUGACGCUGAGACGCGAAAGCGUGGGGAGCAAACAGG